UACGUAGGGGGCGAGCGUUGUCCGGAUUUAUUGGGCGUAAAGAGCGUGUAGGCGGUUCGGUAAGUCUGUCGUGAAAUCCUGAGGCUCAACCUCGGGCGUGCGAUGGAUACUGCCGGGCUAGAGGGUGGUAGAGGCGAGUGGAAUUCCCGGUGUAGCGGUGAAAUGCGCAGAUAUCAGGAGGAACACCGGUGGCGAAGGCGGAUCUCUGGGCCGAUACUGACGCUGAGGUGCGAAAGCGUGGGGAGCAAACAGG
rnacentral:rRNA from 1 species